UCCCUGGCAGUUCAGAGGUUAGAAGUCAACGCUUUCACUGCUGGGGGCCCAGGUUCAAACCCUGGUCAAGGAA
rnacentral:tRNA from 1 species